CGAUGGAUACUAGGUGUGGGGGGUCUGACCCCCUCCGUGCCGCAGUUAACACAAUAAGUAUCCCACCUGGGGAGUACGAUCGCAAGGUUGAAACUCAAAGGAAUUGACGGGGGCCCGCACAAGCGGUGGAGUAUGUGGUUUAAUUCGAAGCAACGCGAAGAACCUUACCAGGGCUUGACAUCCCACUAACGAAGCAGAGAUGCAUUAGGUGCCCUUCGGGGAAAGUGGAGACAGGUGGUGCAUGGUUGUCGUCAGCUCGUGUCGUGAGAUGUUGGGUUAAGUCCCGCAACGAGCGCAACCCUUAUUGUUAGUUGCUACGCAAGAGCACUCUAGCGAGACUGCCGUUGACAAAACGGAGGAAGGUGGGGACGACGUCAAAUCAUCAUGCCCCUUAUGUCCUGGGCCACACACGUACUACAAUGGUGGUUAACAGAGGGAGGCAAUACCGCGAGGUGGAGCAAAUCCCUAAAAGCCAUCCCAGUUCGGAUUGCAGGCUGAAACCCGCCUGUAUGAAGUUGGAAUCGCUAGUAAUCGCGGAUCAGCAUGCCGCGGUGAAUACGUUCCCGGGCCUUGUACACACCGCCCGUCACACCAUGAGAGUCGGGAACACCCGAAGUCCGUAGCCUAACCGCAAGGAGGGCGCGGCCGAAGGUGGGUUCGAUAAUUGGGGU
rnacentral:rRNA from 1 species